UCAAGCGAAUAAGAGCGCAGGGUGGAUGCCUUGGCACUAAGAGCCGAAGAAAGACGUGAUAAGCUGCGAUAAGCUACGGUGAGGAGCAAAUAUCCAUUGACCCGUAGAUUUCUGAAUGGGGAAACCCGGCAGGAGAAACUCCUGUCACUGUAUGGUGAAUACAUAGCCAUAUAGAGGGAACCCGGUGAACUGAAACAUCUAAGUAGCCGGAGGAAGAGAAAACAACAGUGAUUUCCUAAGUAGCGGCGAGCGAACGGGAAAGAGCCCAAACCGGAUUGCGUGCAAUCCGGGGUUCGGACUGCAAACGUCAUUGUAAGAGGAUAACAGAAUGGUUUUGGGAAAGCCAGCCAGAGAGGGUGAAAGCCCCGUACGUGAAAUCUGAUUACAGGCAGCAGGAUCCAGAGUACCACGAGACACGUGGAACCUUGUGGGAACAAGCGGGGACCACCCCGUAAGGCUAAAUACUCCUUAGUGACCGAUAGCGCAUAGUACUGUGAAGGAAAGGUGAAAAGAACCCCGGGAGGGGAGUGAAAGAGAACCUGAAACCCUGUGUUUACAAGCUGUGGAACCACCCUAUGAGUGGAACCGCGUACUUUUUGUAGAACGGUCCGGCGAGUUAUGGUUGCUGGCAAGGUUAAGGACGAAAAGUCCGGAGCCGAAGGGAAACCGAGUCUUAAUAGGGCGCCAAGUCAGCAGACAUAGACCCGAAACCGGGUGACCUACCCAUGUCCAGGUUGAAGCCGCUGUAAAAGGCGGUGGAGGACCGAACGCACAUCUGUUGAAAAAGGUGGCGAUGAGGUGUGGGUAGCGGAGAAAUUCCAAUCGAACUCGGAGAUAGCUGGUUCUCCCCGAAAUAGCUUUAGGGCUAGCCUUGAGUUAGACAUAUGGAGGUAGAGCACUGAAUUUCCGCGGGGGCGUCAAAGCUUACCAAAGCCUAUCAAACUCCGAAUGCCAUGUUGCCGAUGCUCAGGAGUCAGACUGCACGAGAUAAGUUGGGUAGUCGAGAGGGAAACAGCCCAGACCUACAGCUAAGGUCCCAAAGUACAUGUUAAGUGGAAAAGGAUGUGGGAUUUCGAAGACAACUAGGAUGUUGGCUCAGAAGCAGCCAUACAUUCAAAGAGUGCGUAAUAGCUCACUAGUCGAGAGGUCCUGCGCCGAAAAUGUCCGGGGCUAAAACAUGACACCGAAGCUUAGGAACAGAAAUGUUGGUAGGGGAGCAUUGCUAGAGGAACGAAGCAGUACCGUAAGGAGCUGUGGACUUCUAGGAAGAGAGAAUGCCGGAAUGAGUAGCGAGAGUAAGGUGAGAAUCCUUACGGCCGAAUAUCUAAGGUUUCCAGAGUAAAGCUGAUCUGCUCUGGGUAAGUCGGGACCUAAGGCGAGGACGAAAGUCGUAGUCGAUGGAUAACAGGUAGAGAUUCCUGUACUCCGUAUAAACAGAACUGUGGGGACACGGGUGGAAAGCCUGACCCGGGAAUGGAAAGACCGGGACAAGCGAGGUACCUGAUAAGGAGGCAAACCCCCUUAUCAAUGGGAAGACGUGAUGUGGAGCGAACCAAAGGGUAGCGAAGCAGGUGAGCCAGCCGUCGAGAAAAGCCGCUAUUGUUUUGUACGGACCCGUACCGUAAACCGACACAGGUGGAUGAGGAGAGAAUCCUAAGGCCGACGGGAGAAGCAUUGUUAAGGAACUCGGCAAAAUGACCCCGUAACUUCGGGAGAAGGGGUGCCUGAGGAAUCAGGCCGCAGAGAAUAGGUCCAAGCAACUGUUUAGCAAAAACACAGGUCUAUGCGAAACCGAAAGGUGAAGUAUAUGGGCUGACGCCUGCCCGGUGCUGGAAGGUUACGAGGAGUGCUUAGAGGCUUGCCUCGAAGGUGCGAAUUUAAGCCCCAGUAAACGGCGGCCGUAACUAUAACGGUCCUAAGGUAGCGAAAUUCCUUGUCGGGUAAGUUCCG
rnacentral:rRNA from 1 species